UACGAAGGGGGGCUAGCGUUGCUCGGAAUCACUGGGCGUAAAGGGUGCGUAGGCGGGUCUUUAAGUCAGGGGUGAAAUCCUGGAGCUCAACUCCAGAACUGCCUUUGAUACUGAAGAUCUUGAGUUCGGGAGAGGUGAGUGGAACUGCGAGUGUAGAGGUGAAAUUCGUAGAUAUUCGCAAGAACACCAGUGGCGAAGGCGGCUCACUGGCCCGAUACUGACGCUGAGGCACGAAAAGCGUGGGGAGCAAACAGG
rnacentral:rRNA from 1 species